rnacentral:rRNA from 1 species
GGAUUUGGCGGUACCCAAUUCCGACCUAGAGGAGCCUGUCCUAUAAUCGAUAAUCCCCGCUUUACCUGACCACCUCUUGCAAUUCAGCCUAUAUACCGCCGUCGUCAGCCUACCUUGUGAAAGAAGCAGAGUAAGCAAAACAGUUAACAACUAAAACGUCAGGUCAAGGUGUAGCACACGGGGUGGAAGAGAUGGGCUACAUUUUCUGAAACAGAAAACACGAACGAUACAAUGAAACUUGUACCUGAAGGCGGAUUUAGUAGUAAGAUAAAUAACAGACUUUAUCUUAACCCCGCUCUAGGGUGCGC